rnacentral:rRNA from 1 species
UCCUACGGGAGGCAGCAGUGGGGAAUAUUACACAAUGGGGGAAACCCUGAUGCAGCCAUGCCGCGUGUGUGAAGAAGGCCUUCGGGUUGUAAAGCACUUUCAGUAGGGAGGAAGGUAGUGUAGUUAACACCUGCAUUAUUUGACGUUACCUACAGAAGAAGCACCGGCUAACUCCGUGCCAGCAGCCGCGGUAAUACGGAGGGUGCGAGCGUUAAUCGGAAUUACUGGGCGUAAAGCGCAUGCAGGCGGCCUGUUAAGUCAGAUGUGAAAGCCCGGGGCUUAACCUCGGAAUUGCAUUUGAAACUGGCAGGCUAGAGUCUUGUAGAGGGGGGUAGAAUUUCAGGUGUAGCGGUGAAAUGCGUAGAGAUCUGAAGGAAUACCAGUGGCGAAGGCGGCCCCCUGGACAAAGACUGACGCUCAGAUGCGAAAGCGUGGGGAGCAAACAGGAUUAGAUACCCUGGUAGUCCACGCCGUAAACGAUGUCUACUUGGAGGUUGUGGCCUUGAGCCGUGGCUUUCGGAGCUAACGCGUUAAGUAGACCGCCUGGGGAGUACGGUCGCAAGAUUAAAACUCAAAUGAAUUGACGGA